rfam:Sugiyamaella lignohabitans strain CBS 10342 mitochondrion genome.
AAGCCUUUAACUUAAUGGUAGAGUGCUAACUUGAUAAGUUAGUUGUACUAGUUCAAUUCUAGUAAGGCUUA